UUGCUCUCAAGAAGUUAGCGGCGGACGGGUGAGUAACACGUGGGUAACCUGCCCAUAAGACUGGGAUAACUCCGGGAAACCGGGGCUAAUACCGGAUAACAUUUUGAACUGCAUGGUUCGAAAUUGAAAGGCGGCUUCGGCUGUCACUUAUGGAUGGACCCGCGUCGCAUUAGCUAGUUGGUGAGGUAACGGCUCACCAAGGCAACGAUGCGUAGCCGACCUGAGAGGGUGAUCGGCCACACUGGGACUGAGACACGGCCCAGACUCCUACGGGAGGCAGCAGUAGGGAAUCUUCCGCAAUGGACGAAAGUCUGACGGAGCAACGCCGCGUGAGUGAUGAAGGCUUUCGGGUCGUA
rnacentral:rRNA from 1 species